ACUCCUACGGGAGGCAGCAGUAGGGAAUCUUCCACAAUGGGCGCAAGCCUGAUGGAGCAACACCGCGUGAGUGAAGAAGGGUUUCGGCUCGUAAAGCUCUGUUGUUAAAGAAGAACACGUAUGAGAGUAACUGUUCAUACGUUGACGGUAUUUAACCAGAAAGUCACGGCUAACUACGUGCCAGCAGCCGCGGUAAUACGUAGGUGGCAAGCGUUAUCCGGAUUUAUUGGGCGUAAAGGGAGUGCAGGCGGUUUUCUAAGUCUGAUGUGAAAGCCUUCGGCUUAACCGGAGAAGUGCAUCGGAAACUGGAUAACUUGAGUGCAGAAGAGGGUAGUGGAACUCCAUGUGUAGCGGUGGAAUGCGUAGAUAUAUGGAAGAACACCAGUGGCGAAGGCGGCUACCUGGUCUGCAACUGACGCUGAGACUCGAAAGCAUGGGUAGCGAACAGGAUUAGAUACCCUGGUAGGAUAGCG
rnacentral:rRNA from 1 species